AGAUGAUCCUUCCGGKGGAUCCGGCGGUGCAAGUCCCCCUUGAGAGGUGCACUUUGCCCAGAGCGGGUGUUAGGCCCGUACCGCCGCCGGAUCUCUUUCGGAAUCGUCAUUCUCCCAGGAGUCGGGUUGCUUGGGAGUGCAGCCCAAAGUGGGUGGUAAACUCCAUCUAAAGCUAAAUAAAACCGAGAGACCGAUAGCAAACAAGUACCAUGAGGGAAAGUUGAAAAGCACUUUGAAGAGAGAGUUCAAGAGUACGUGAAACCGUUCGGAGGUAAACGGGUGGGACUUCGAAGUCCUGGGUAAUCAUGGAUUCAGCCCUUUUCUACGACUGUGGUUCAAUGGCGCGAUCGCUCCGACGGAGGUCGCCCUGAGAACCCUUCCGGGAUGGGUGCACUUCCUUGAUCCCCCUUUGGGCGUCGCGACCGGUUUGGAGGUCGUCGUGAGGUGGGGCACGAAAGGUGGCCGCUUGUGGUGUUAUAUGACCCCCUCUGGGCGGACCGACAGACCGGGGUUUAACGCUCCCUUCCAAAAGGCACCGUUCCCUCGCUGGAUACUUGCCCAGGUUCAACGCACAGCGUGGCUUGGGCUUUGUGAUGGCUUGAGUACUGACGGGUUGCCACGCGGAGCAGGGGGUCGCGGCGAGUAGGUCGGUUUCCCACCCGACCCGUCUUGAAACACGGACCAAGGAGUCUAACGCGUGUGCGAGUUCCCGGGACUUGACCAGGCCCGCGGGCGCAAUGAAAGWGAAGGUUGGCUUCGGCCUCCGAGUUGGGAUCCUCUUUCCUCCGGGGUGAGGCGCACCAACGGCCCGUCCGACGCCGUUUUCGGCGGGGCGGAGCAGGAGCAUACGCUCUGGGACCCGAAAGAUGGUGAACUAUGCCUGRVCAGGAUGAAGCCAGAGGAAACUCUGGUGGAGGUCCGCAGCGAUUCUGACGUGCAAAUC
rnacentral:rRNA from 1 species